rnacentral:rRNA from 1 species
CCCUAGUAUAAAUUAAUAAAUAUAAUUAUUAUGUAAAGAAAUUUAAAAUUUUUGGCGGUUAAUUAAUAAUUAGAGGAGCUUGUUUUUUAUAGAAUUUACUCUUUAUAUUUUAUAAAUUUUUAGCCUAUUUAUCUCCGUUAUAAUUACUCUUAAAAUAAAACUUAAGUUUCUAUUUCAGGUCAAGAUGUAGCAUAAAUUUGAAAUAAUUAGCUACAAUUAUAUAAUAACAAAAGAUUUUUUUAACAUACUCUGCAAGAUGAAUUUAACUGUAAUAUAUUUUAUAAAAAAUAUUUGAAAAUUUAUAAUUAAUG